rnacentral:misc_RNA from 1 species
UACGUAGGGGUCGAGCGUUGUCCGGAGUUACUGGGCGUAAAGCGCGCGCAGGUGGCUCAUUACGCCCGGCGUGAAAGCCCCCGGCUCAACCGGGGAGGGUCGUCGGGGACGGGUGAGCUUGAGGGUAUCAGGGGCUGGUAGAAUUCCCGGUGUAGUGGUGAAAUGCGUAGAGAUCGGGAGGAAUACCCGUGGCGAAGGCGGCCAGCUGGGAUACACCUGACACUGAGGCGCGAAGGCGUGGGGAGCGAACGGG